rnacentral:rRNA from 1 species
UGCAAGUCGAGCGGUAGAGAGGAGCUUGCUUCUCUUGAGAGCGGCGGACGGGUGAGUAAUGCCUAGGAAUCUGCCUAGUGGUGGGGGAUAACGUUCGGAAACGGACGCUAAUACCGCAUACGUCCUACGGGAGAAAGCGGGGGACCUUCGGGCCUCGCGCCAUUAGAUGAGCCUAGGUCGGAUUAGCUAGUUGGUGAGGUAACGGCUCACCAAGGCGACGAUCCGUAACUGGUCUGAGAGGAUGAUCAGUCACACUGGAACUGAGACACGGUCCAGACUCCUACGGGAGGCAGCAGUGGGGAAUAUUGGACAAUGGGCGAAAGCCUGAUCCAGCCAUGCCGCGUGUGUGAAGAAGGUCUUCGGAUUGUAAAGCACUUUAAGUUGGGAGGAAGGGCAGUAACUUAAUACGUUGCUGUUUUGACGUUACCGACAGAAUAAGCACCGGCUAACUCUGUGCCAGCAGCCGCGGUAAUACAGAGGGUGCAAGCGUUAAUCGGAAUUACUGGGCGUAAAGCGCGCGUAGGUGGUUUGUUAAGUUGGAUGUGAAAGCCCCGGGCUCAACCUGGGAACUGCAUCCAAAACUGGCAAGCUAGAGUACGGUAGAGGGUGGUGGAAUUUC